UACGAACUGUGCAAACGUUUAUUCGGAUUCACUGGGCUUAAAGGGUGCGUUAGGCGGCCAUGUAAGUAGGGUGUGAAAAUCCCCCCGGCUUAACCGGGGAACUGCGCCCUAAACUGUAUGGCUGGAGUGAGAUAGGGGUGUGUGGAACUUCCGGGUGGAGCGGUGAAAUGUGUUGAUAUCGGAAGGAACACCAGUGGCGAAGGCGGCUCACUGGACCGGUACUGGACGCUGAGGCGCGAAAGCGUGGGGGAGCAAACGGGG
rnacentral:rRNA from 1 species